UGGUCAUUUGAAAGAGGGCUUUUAGAAAGAAAUCAGGCACUCUUCACACUAUGACCAAAGAUUUAAAGACCACAGCAUGCAAUGGACACUAAGGCAGUAGACCUGUUAUUUUCUGAGUGGCUACAUGA
rnacentral:snoRNA from 1 species